UCAUUUUGUGUUUUGUAUGUAUACGUCACUUUGUGUUUAUUAAAUGAAUAACAAAUAAUUUUUUGGUAUUUCUUGAUGCAGCACAUCGACUUGGCCAUGGACUUGCUGCGAGAUCGAGCUCAGAGACAUCCAAAAUCAUUUGACGUCCAUGGUCGAGUCAUAUUAAACACCGAGCUCCUGCGUGCCGUUACCAUAGAGUAUCAGUCGCUCCAACUUAUGGGUAACGAGUACACGGUGCUCGAAUAUAUGCUCGAGUGGGUCAUAGUAUUGUCGCCGAGUGUCGGGGGAAAAUCAUGGGAGAGUUGUACACAUAUGUACAUUCCAGCGUGCAUCAAUAGGCAUUGUGUUAUGCUGGAGAUCGUUUUUGUUGACACGACUAUAUAUGUGUAUGAUCCAGAUCAUUCAUGUUUAACGCAAGGCCAGUUGGAGCAAAACUUGGAGUCCGUAGCUGUAAUUGUUCCUAUGAUGGCCAGACAAGCGGGGAUGACUGUACAGGAUAGAUUGCAGAUUGUUCGGAAUACGACGACAUCACGAUAGUCCGUAAGGUAAGUGUUUGAACUUUGUUGUUUUCACCUUUCAGAUUUAGUUUUUUAGCUACACAGUAUUGAACUGAUCCAUUCUUGUUCAAUUGUAGCGGCGACUGCGGCAUAUUUGCCAUUAAGUACGUUGAAUUUUUAAGUAUAGGACAUAAGGUUGAUGAAAUCAACCAAUCGUGGAUACAGAACUGGUAAAAGAAGUUAGCAUGUGAUUUGUUCGAAUUUAAUGGUGACCCGUAAAUUUGUAUUAAAUAUAUGUAACAUUCGAAUAGUAAAUUUAAUUAUUUUUUGUGAUUAUGAAAUAAUUGUAAAUUUGUAUUCAGUGUAUAUAACAUUCACAUUGUAAAUGUAAUUAUUUUUUUAUUCUGAAAUAAAUUUAAAUUUGUGUUCAAUGUAUA
rnacentral:lncRNA from 1 species